GACCUGAUAGUUUAAUGGCAGAACAUCUACCUGCCUAUUAGAAGAUAAAGGUUCAAUUCCUUUGAAGGUCA